rnacentral:rRNA from 1 species
UACGUAGGGGGCUAGCGUUGUCCGGAAUCAUUGGGCGUAAAGCGCGUGUAGGCGGCCCGGUAAGUCCGCUGUGAAAGUCGGGGGCUCAACCCUCGGAUGCCGGUGGAUACUGUCGGGCUAGAGUGCGGAAGAGGCGAGUGGAAUUCCUGGUGUAGCGGUGAAAUGCGCAGAUAUCAGGAGGAACACCUAUUGCGAAGGCAGCUCGCUGGGACGUAACUGACGCUGAGACGCGAAAGCGUGGGGAGCAAACAGG